rnacentral:rRNA from 1 species
AUUGAACGCUGGCGGCAGGCUUAACACAUGCAAGUCGAGCGGAGAUGAGGUGCUUGCACCUUAUCUUAGCGGCGGACGGGUGAGUAAUGCUUAGGAAUCUGCCUAUUAGUGGGGGACAACAUUCCGAAAGGAAUGCUAAUACCGCAUACGUCCUACGGGAGAAAGCAGGGGAUCUUCGGACCUUGCGCUAAUAGAUGAGCCUAAGUCGGAUUAGCUAGUUGGUGGGGUAAAGGCCUACCAAGGCGAAGAUCUGUAGCGGGUCUGAGAGGAUGAGCCGCCACACUGGGACGGAGACACGGCACAGACUCCUACGGGAGGUAGCAGUGGGGAAUAUUGGACAAUGGGGGGAACCCUGAUCCAGCCAUGCCGCGUGUGUGAAGAAGGCCUUAUGGUUGUAAAGCACUUUAAGCGAGGAGGAGGCUACUGAGACUAAUACUCUUGGAUAGUGGACGUUACUCGCAGAAUAAGCACCGGCUAACUCUGUGCCAGCCGCCGCCGUAA